rfam:Bdellovibrionales bacterium RIFOXYD1_FTLL_53_11 rifoxyd1_full_scaffold_5291, whole genome shotgun sequence.
AAAGUUCUGCCCGGUGAACGGGUGAGCCGCCCACACCGAACUUGAGUCAUGCGGAGGUGACCGUGAGGUCAGUUUCGAAGCGUUGACAGAGGAAAGGAUGAGCCAGGUAUAGAGCCUCGUUAAGUACAACCCAAGUGUCAGUGGCGUGUGUAAGAAUCGCUGACAGUAUUCAGCGCUUCGCAAAUGGCGAGAAGCGACGGAACAUGGCGGGGUCAGAGACCC